rnacentral:lncRNA from 1 species
CAAUAUAGUUCAAGGAAUGUUUCAGGUUUGUUGGUUCAACAACUCUUCAAAGGAUAGGACUAAUGUCUUUUUUUUUUUUUUUUUUUUGACCUAAAGUUUCACCUUCUCUCUUUCCUUUGAAAGAGAGAGCCCCUAUGAGAGUCUAACCUGGAACUGCUUCCUUUAAAAUUAUGCUGGAUGGCAGUGAUGGUGAGCAGAUGCCACAUCCCUUCCCCCCAGCCCAGCCUUGGUGCCUAAAACCAGUCACUCUAUCACAAAAGGAAUAAAAGCUCUAUGUCUGAAUGCCACUGAAACCCAAUUAGAAUUUAAUCCAGAACAUAGAUUGAGUGUUAAGCACGGCGAACUCCCUUUAGUAUAAGUCCCAGGGCUCAAGAGUAGGCGUAAUAGCCCAACAAAACCAAAAUCUUUGAUGGAUAGCGUCACAUCCCAUAUGCUACGCCCAGCACCUCACUGAGAUAAGCAGUACAGAGCUUAUCACCGUUUUAUCAAAGGGGAGACGUUGAGAUUUAGAGAGAGAGUAACUUGCUGAAGGACUCAGAAAGUGACAUGGGCAGGGCUCUGAUUGCGACCAGUUACGACCUACUGAGACGUUCUCAUCCGCUGCCCAUGAGGAAGGUGGAGGAAAGAAGGGGACGAGGGAGGAACUGCUGAAAGAAGCUGUUGGCUGAGUGCACUAGUUUUGAAACUUUAUUGAGAUUUAAUUUACAAAUGAUAAAGUUGACCCAUGUGUAGCUUACAAUGCAGAGAGUCCUCUGUACGUAAUGGACACAAAUCCUUUUAAGACGGGUGAUUUGAAACUAUUUUCUCCCAGUCUAUGACUGGUCUUUUCCUUUUCUUAAUGGUGUCUUUUGAAGCACAAACAUCAUCCAUUUCGAUGAGGUCCAGUGGAUCAGUUUUCUUUUUUUAUGGUUCAUGCGCUUGUUGUCAUAGCUAAGUAACCAUUGCCCAAUCCAAGGUCUGCCCGUUCUUCCAUCUUCCUAAGCCUGGCAGAUGCUAGGUGUUUGGUCAGUGAAUGGAUGAAUGGGUACGUGUCCCUAACCUUGACCCUUGUACCUGGAAUGGAGAACAAGUCCCAGGCUCUGUGCAUCCUCCAGUUCUGAAAUGAAGGUUCUUGUGUGUAUCACCAUCCGCUCGUGUAGGCAUUUCUUCUGAAGGCUGCUAGAGGUGUGAGGACAAAGGGCUGUAUAUGGGGAGUGAAGAAAGGAGGAAACCUUGAAGGCAGGGAUUCCAUCCCACCCUGUGACGUCAACACCAGUCACAGUCUGUGCCAGUCUCCUUGCGGUGGGCUGUUGGUCUGCCACGUGAGCCCAAACAUCAGUGUCUCCCAAGGGGGCCAAAGUCAUCUGAAGCUCUAGGAUACCGGCCAGGCUCUGUAGGAAGUCUCUCCAAAGUCCUUAGACUCCAGUGUUUGGGUGAUGCUGAUGGGUCUCUGUUCAGCUUUUUAGGUUUUGUCACAAUGAUACUAUCUACACCCCUGACUUGGUCAUAACCUACAAAAUGCACUUCCGUCGUUGCCUUCUACUAGAUUGCUUUUUCAGUGGGCUUUGAUUAGGACAUGCGAGAUACGGUUGUGGGCAUCUGUGGGCAGCCUUUGAUGCAAUGCUUCACUAUGAUACAAAGAGGAAAAAAGUAAAAGUCCCAGCCUGAGAUCUGUAGCAUUUGUUAUUUUAAUGUUGUCUUUCUCCCUUUAAACAGCCCAUUACACUGAGAGUGACAAUUUCUUGUUGCAGUUUGGAGUCAGAUACACGUGGGUGUGAUUCUGCUUUCACUGGGUACUUAACAGACAAAUGGUUUCACCCUCUUGGAGCCUCAGUGUCCUCAUCUGUAAAAUGAGGCUAAUAGUACUAGGCUUACAGGGGUUAUUGAGAAGGUUAGGUAAAAUAAUGUGUGAAAGCUUACUGCAGUUCUUAGAUACAGAGGAACUACAAGCUAAGUGAUAGCUUUCUUACGAGUACAAGUAUCAUCAUUGGCACUGUUACUGCUACAGCUCCAGUGACUAAUAUCAAGAAGAGAACUGCCAGAGUUCCCGUUGUGGCGCAGCGGAAGCAAAUCGGACUAGUAUCCUUGAGGAUGCGGGUUCAAUCCCUGGCCUCCCUCAGUGGGUCGGGGGAUCCGGCAUUGCUGUGACCUGUGGUGUAGGUCGCAGACACAGCUUGGGCCCUGCGUUGCUGUGGCUGUGGCGUAGGCUGGCAGCUGGAGCUCCCAUUCCACCCCUCGCCUGGGAACCUCCAUAUGCCAUGGGUACGGCCCUAAAAAGACCAAAAAAGAAAA